CGGUGGGGUAGAGGUGCAAAAUUCAAGAGUAAGAUGUGCGAGGAUGACAACGUUGACCGCAUCAGAAAGGGAAUUUUUGCCGAAGCAAUUGACAUGUGUCCGCAUUCCAUUGCUGGGGCUGCUUUGAAGAAGGGCAGCACUGUCAUUAUAAAGGCAAAGCAGGUAUAUGCUUAGAAAAGCCUUAUAAUGGGGAGCUACAGAUCGU
rnacentral:ncRNA from 2 species